rnacentral:rRNA from 1 species
AUGGGGGGAACCCUGAUGCAGCAACGCCGCGUGAGUGAAGAAGGCAUUCGUGUCGUAAAACUCUGUAGUAGGGGAAGAAAGAAAUGACAGUACCCUAAAAGAAAGCCCCGGCUAACUACGUACCAGCAGCCGCGGUAAUACGUAGGGGGCAAGCGUUAUCCGGAAUAACUGGGCGUAAAGGGUGCGCAGGUGGUUUAACAAGUUAGUGGUGAAAGGCAUAGGCUCAACCAAUGUAAGCCAUUAAAACUGUUUAACUUGAGUGCAGGAGAGGAAAGUGGAAUUCCUAGUGUAGCGGUGAAAUGCGUAGAUAUUAGGAGGAAUACCAGUGGCGAAGGCGACUUUCUGGACUGCAACUGACACUGAGGCACGAAAGCGUGGGGAGCAAACAGGAUUAGAUACCCUGGUAGUCCACGCCGUAAACGAUGAGUACUAGGUGUCGGGUGAAGAACUCGGUGCCGAAGUUAACACAUUAAGUACUCCGCCUGGGGAGUACGCUCGCAAGAGUAAACUCAAGGAAUUGACGGGGACCGCACAGCAGCGGAGCAUGUGGUUUAUCGAGCACGCCAGAACCUUACUAACUGACUACAUGACGCCUUAUCAGACUUACUCGGUACAAUGAU